GAUGAACGCUGGCGGCGUGCCUAAUACAUGCAAGUCGAGCGAACAGACGAGGAGCUUGUUCCUCUGACGUUAGCGGCGGACGGGUGAGUAACACGUGGAUAACCUACCUAUAAGACUGGGAUAACUUCGGGAAACCGGAGCUAAUACCGGAUAAUAUCUUGAACCGCAUGGUUCAAUAGUGAAAGACGGUUUUGCUGUCACUUAUAGAUGGAUCCGCGCGGCAUUAGCUAGUUGGUAAGGUAACGGCUUACCAAGGCAACGAUGCGUAGCCGCCCUGAGAGGGUGAUCGGCCAAACUGGAACUGAGACACGGUCCAGACUCCUACGGGAGGCAGCAGUAGGGAAUCUUCCGAAAUGGGCGAAAGCCUGACGGGGCAAGGCCGCGUGAGUGAUGAAGGUCUUCGGAUCGUAAAACUCUGUUAUAAGGGAAGAACAAAUGUGUAAGUAACUAUGCACGACGUGACGGUACCUAAUCAGAAAGCGACGGCUAACUACGUG
rnacentral:rRNA from 1 species